rnacentral:rRNA from 1 species
AUGGCGACGCCCAGACUUGCGGCGAUUUUUUGUUGCAGCUGGUGUCGAUUUUUUCUACUACCGUCGUUGACGAUUGCUACAACCAUUCACAAGGACACUGACGGCGGCGACACUUUGCUUCAACCAGUGUCGUUUUUUGCUACUACCGGUGUUGACAAUUGCUACAACUGUUCACGAGGACACCGACGGAGGCGACAGCGACGACAGCCUUUUUGCUACAACUGGUGUCGAUUUUUGCUACUACCGGUCUUCACGAUUGCUACAACCGUUCAAGAAGACACCGACAGCGGCAACGGCGUUUUGUUGCAACGACAGCCGUUUGGAGUGGCGCGGCAAGCCGUAGUGCUGCAAGCAGCCGGUGAGGGGGACGUGCGUUGUAGUUGUUACUACGGCGCGGACCAGGGGGCAACAAGCUGGAGGGGCGCGAGUCAUUUUGCUGCAACAGCGGCCUUUGGAGUGACGGGGCGGGCCGCGGUGCUGCAAGCAGCCGGCAAAGGGGCGUGCGCCGUAGUUGCUACGAGCGCAUGA